rnacentral:rRNA from 1 species
UCGGCAAUGGACGAAAGUCUGACCGAGCGACGCCGCGUGUGGGAUGAAGGUCUUCGGAUUGUAAGCCACUGUCGAGGGGGAUUAAGGGAAACUUGAAAGAACCCUGGAGGAAGGGGAGGCUAAGCUCGUGCCAGCAGCCGCGGUAAGACGAGCUCCCCAAACGUUAUUCGGUAUUACUGGGCUUAAAGAGUUCGUAGGCGGCGAAGUAGGUGAGGUGUGAAAGCCCUCGGCUCAACCGAGGAACUGCGCUUCAAACCACUUUGCUAGAGGGAGAUAGGGGUAAGCGGAACAGAUGGUGGAACGGUGAAAUGUAUUGAUAUCAUCUGGAACACCGGUGGCGAAAGCGGCUUACUGGGUCUUUUCUGACGCUGAGGAACGAAAGCUAGGGUAGCGAACGGGAUUAGAUACCCCGGUAGUCCUAGCCGUAAACGAUGAGCACUAGUCUGAGGGACUUUCACGGUUUCUCGGACGUAGCGAAAGUGUUAAGUGCUCCGCCUGGGGAGUAUGGUCGCAAGGCUGAAACUCAAAGGA